CCCCUUGAGAUUCGCGGCGGUCUGACCUAUAUCUGAGAUGUCCUUCGGGACUAUGGACAUAAACGCGCUCGUAAUAAGCGGAUCGGACCCGGGGGCGGUACCCGGCGGCUCCACCAACAUCCUUCAUUUGGGGAUCAUGGGGCCGAAACAGGAUCGACGAACGUCUAAAGGUGUUGCUUUGUCCCGGUGAGAUACCACCGUUAUCGGUUCAAAAUGUACAAUUGCAAAUGACAAUCGUGCUCCAGUAGCGAUGGCCGCGUAAGCGGUUUCAGCCACUGAAACUUAACUCCUCUGGUUUAGCGACCUGAGGCGGGGUUCGCAGGCACCUGGCAACAGAAGCCUGCACC
rnacentral:tmRNA from 1 species